AUGGCCUCCCCUGCUUCGUCUGCUUCGCGGACAGAGCUCCGUCUCCGUCAACGUGUCCUCCCGCCGUCUUUGUUCGUUGUCGAGCUCAAUCGACUCCAGCAGCACCCCCAUGGUGUCGCUCCGCUCGGCACCCGAGCGUCUCUCCAGCUUGCAGUAGCACCACUCUUCUCAAGUGCGCCCACCAGCCAGGCCGUUCGUCUCCAGCUCUUCGCUCUGGCUCUGUAUUGCGUUGUUCAUUCAAUCAGGGAUCUAUUCCAAGAUUCUGAACAUGCAAGCAAAUAUGCAGGAGUAAACAAGUUCUUGCAGUAG
rnacentral:rRNA from 1 species